GAUUCCUCCUCUAUGGAGUUUUUCCUGUAAACCUAGAUCUUUGGAUAUAGUACCCAAAGUAUUUACACAUCUUAAUACCAACUUUAAAGAGGGAAUAUUAAAACAGCCUGUGAGACAGUGGAAUAAUGCUGAAAUCAACUGAAAGAGAGUCUUAAAGAAAACACCUGGAAUUAGUAGCAAGUUUUAUAAUAUUAAAAACAAACAAACAAAAAAAAGCAACCGAACCACUUUGAAAAAUAGACCUCAUAUCCAAUCUACAUAGGGAAAUCCAACAGCAGCAACACAGACUUCAUUUUCUAAGAGAUGAGGAAUACAAUGGGUUCAGUCUGAUAUAUGAAAAAUGUUGGAGUCCUGAUAGCCUUAAUCCCUGCCACAGAAGUGUAUAAAAUUUCACAGCAAAGCUGCCAGAAAAGCCAAGACCACACCAGGAAAGCCGUCUGCUUACAAGAAGAUACCUGCCAGGUCUUGUCUGCCAAAGCCUGGACUAAUGAAUGAAUACACAAUAUCCCAAUCAAUCAAACUGGAUUUGUCUUUGCCCCAGGUCUAGGUGAGGUCUGGUAUGAGGUGACCAUAUCUGUCAAGCAUGCAGUAGUUGUGGCCAAGAAACUGUCUGUACAUUUAUGCAUUUAUCAAGGCAGAUAUGAAUAGAAGUCUUUAUUUUUUAACUAAAUGUAGUGUAUUCACACACUCACUGUAUGUAUCUAAAGGUAUAGUCAUACAUAAAGAGAGAAGGAGGUGUUUAUCCAAUGCCUGUUUUAGGUAUGCCUGUAUGCAGAUAUCUAUGCACAUGUGCAUACAGUCAGUCCUUUUCCUCCUCGACCUGCUUUUGUUCAAAAAGAUUUCAGUCCUGCAUUUAUUUUUAGUAUAAACAUCAGGACUGUGGCUACAUUGUACCCUGAAUAUGUCUGAACCACGGAUUUCUAACAUUAGUGGAAAUUAUUGUUUCUAGAGUUUUAAUCCUCCAUCACAGUCACUGCUGUCUUUCAAAUAAAUAGUCUGCAUUUUCACAGAUAUGUAUAUUUGCAUUGGGAAAUGUGAAGUUAUAGUGUGAUGAAGAAGUAACAAUUUAAGUAGUCUCCCCAGCCAUGUUAGUGUAAUGGAUAGUGUAAUGUGGUGAGUAGGGAUUCAGCCUAGGAAUGGCAAAACACUUGAUAGCUGCUGUCAUGCACAAAGGCUAUGUACAGCAGUAACAGAAUCUUAAAUGUUUCUUUGAACUUGAGUGUGCUGAGGCUGAUGACUUCUUCCUGUUUCCUGGGAACAUGCUUUUAGGUGCAGAACAGAGUAGGGUGAGUCAGAGUGUGGUCUGAUAAAAGAUUAAAUGGUCAUAGAAUAAUCACAGAUAAGUCAUCGCCUGAGGGAUGGGAAGAUACUCAAAUGAAAUGAUAGUAGUCAGAUAUGCUGGUGAGGUAAGGAGUUUGGACAACAGUGUACCAUCUCAUUCUGUCAUUGUACUCUAAUUCAAA